CAAUUGGACCUGAUAUCAGGCAAGAUUACCCGCUGAACUUAAGCAUAU
rnacentral:rRNA from 1 species